rnacentral:rRNA from 1 species
UACUGCUCAGUAACACGUAGCUAACCUACCCUUAAGUCAAGGAUAACCUCGGGAAACUGAGGAUAAUACUUGAUAGAAAAUAAUUUCUGGAAUGAUUUAUUUUUGAAAUUCGAGCUUAAGGAGGGGGCUGCGGCUGAUUAGGUAGUUGUUGGUGUAAUUGACUAACAAGCCGAUGAUCAGUGAGGGCUCUUAGCGGAGAGGCCCUGAGAAGGAAUCUGAGACACUAUUCCUAGCUCUACGGGGUGCAGCAGUUAAGGAAAUUUUACAAUGCACGAAAGUGUGAUAAAAUAAACCAGAGUGCUUCUCUUAGAGAAGCUUUUGUCUACUGUAAAAAGGUAGACGAAUAAGGACUGGGCAAGACCGGUGCCAGCCGCCGCGGUAAUACCGGCGGUCCGAGUCGCAUCCACAUUUAUUGGGUCUAAAACAUUCGUAGCUUGUUUUGUAAGUCUCUUGUGAAAUCUCAUGUCUCAAGCAUGAGGCGGGCAAGAGAUACUACAUUACUAGAGACCGGAAGACGUAAGGAGUACAAUUAAGGUAGCGGUAAAAUGUGUUAAUCUUAAUUGGACUAACAAUGGCGAAGGCACCUUACGAGUACGGAUCUGACAGUGAGGGAUGAAGGCUAGGGUCGCGAAAGGGAUUAGAUACCCCUGUAGUCCUAGCAGUAAACACUGCUCACUAAACAUUAGUACCUCCUCGAGAGGUAUUAGUGCUGUAGAGAAGUCGAAGAGUGAGCUACCUGGGAAGUAUAGUCGCAAGGCUGAAACUUAAAGGAAUUGGCGGGGGAGCAC